CCCAGGUCCCAGCUGCACAUGCCGAAGAAAUCAAAGGUUUUAUACCGAAUCCCCUCACUGCAGCUGUAUGUGUGAUAAAACUGCAAUCCUGUUUUACACCAGCUCCUACUCCAUGGGGACAGACAUGAUGGGAACUAGUACAUCUCCUGACACUACUCAAGAACUUUCUAACACAGGGGACUGUCUUUGCAGUUUGCAAGGAAACGUCCAGGGGGCCCAGGGCAAUUCUCCUCCCCCUGGAGUGAGCCUACAGCAGACCUGACCCUGACAUCUGCAGCUGUAACUCUCCUGACUGCCUGAUGCUAAAACAGUCUGGAGGUGAAGUGGAACAACUGGACACCAGUUUUAACUGCCUUUUAUUGUGCCACCAGCUGUCAAGAUUACGACCUGGGAAACAAAUAAAAGGACUUCAAGCAACACCUACGUCAAACUUGGCUUGUGACACUUACAUGUGGAUAACAUACUUAUCACAGAAAACAGCUGGACAAGUAUUUCCAAAAACCUCUUGGUCUUUAUACUCACAAUCUUUCAAUCUAUUAUACAAGCAAAUCAAAAUAUACAGUCAAGUUAGUCAAUGGUAAUAAUGUACUCUCAGUUACAGUUUUCUGUAUAUAGUAUAUAACUAUAAGGGAAGGUAUAGAGGUUGGAUCAUCAUGAUCAUCACUCUUGUGUUAUUAUUUAUUCAAAAUAAAUUUGUUAUAAAUAAAUCAAAUAUCAAAAGCAUACAGUUGUAUAAAGAUGAUAAAUUUCCUUUCAUCGCCCCCAUCUGAUAUGAAAAGCAUCUGAAAUGUAUUUUACGGCCAUUAUUAUGUUGGCAAGUUUUGCUAUGCAAGCGAUUUUCAGACAUGUACAUUUCUGUAUACUUCUGAGUGCUGAGGUCAAGCCUUUGGCUGAUCAAAAGAGCCUCUAGCAGAUAUUGGGACAUUGUAGAUUGAAAUUCGAUAACCAUCAUUGUAUCAGUUAGAUUUGGGUGAUAUUCUUUCUAUUACCUAACUAACAGGUGUGCUUAUGAUAGAAAGCAAAACAGCGUCAGGUAAUGGCAGGUAUACUGGUGUUUCUUUAUUGGAUUUGCGGGCAUGAAAGGUGCGUAUUUGAACACCAAAUCUAGUGAGUGUGGUGAGUAAAAAAAUGCCUGGACUGAAAUAGACUAUCAUCUCCUCACACAAAAUGUGUAGAGUGUAACUGUAAGAAAUGCAGGACUGUAAAUGUAAUACUGUAUCAUCUCCACACACCAAAUGUGUAGAGUAUAACUGAACUGAACUGAUAACUAAGA